rnacentral:misc_RNA from 1 species
UUGAAUAAAAUUGUUUGAGUUGUUGCUGGCCCUCAGAUGGGGGCAUGUGCACGCUCUGUUUACACAUCCACUCACACCUGUGCACUCUCUGUAGUUCUAUGGUCUGGGGGCUUGGUCCCUCCUACUGUGGUUCUGCGCAUUUACACACACACACUGUAAUGAAGUCUCAUGGAAUGUAUGCCGCGUUUAACGCAAUGCAAUA